rnacentral:lncRNA from 1 species
UUGAGAAAUAAGAUUUAAAAUGUGAUUCAACAUUUCUGCAUACUUUAUGUAACCUGCCUGUGAAAGAACCCUAGGGUUGGUGAAGAUAAUGACAUACUAGCAGUGUGAUACCGCUUAUUAAAAUUUCUAUAUGUCGUUGUUUUCUUUCAGAAGAUCCAAUUUGAUCCUUGGUGUUUCAAAAUCCAUCUAAUGCAGGUUUUCUCCUGUAACAGAAAAGGGCUAUCUACAGGCAGGAUAUCCCAUUUUGGUAUCCUGUUAAGUGACUUUUAGACUUCCAGAGUUUGUCUUCUUUACCACUUGAUAUUGACGUCUUACUGCUCUUCACAUCUAAGCCAAAGGAUAGCGUUUUCUUCUAUAUUAAUUCAAAGGUUCUUUAAGAUCCGUGCACACAGGCUUUGUUUCACACCUUUGAACUAAGGUGCCUGGGAUGCCUUCCAUUCCUCAGAACAGACAAAAGCGAGCUCUCAACUCUUCUAUUAAAUGACUCAAACUUGAGUUUUCCUAUGACAGCUUUCUCAGCAAACUCCUAACGAGGCAAAAUUGGCUACUCGUGGCUUUGGUUCUCUGUAUCCAGCACAUUUUUCAACAACAGCCCCUAGAAUACAUCGGGGCACCUGAGGUUGUGCUUGAAACAAAAUAGGCAUUCAAUAUCUACAGACUGGCAUCAAUAUUGACACUUACAGACUAACAGAAUGACUGACUGGUUAGAUAUCUAAUCACUUGCAGUGCUCUCAUCAAGCCCAUGAUGGAUUAAUUCACACUCCUAUUCUUUUGCAUAUGCUUUCUCUCUGGUCAGAGUCUUGUCUAGCUGAGUCAUUAAGGUAAGAAGAAAAUGAAGAGGAAAGAGGGGAGAAAUAGCCAACAUGUACCAAGAACCUGCUGAGCCAGGCAUGGAUGAUGUCAUCUUGUCUCCUGUGCCUGGAUAUUUCCUGAGUCCUAGUUGAAUAAAAAAUGCAAUUCUUGACUUGAGAUGAAUCAGUUCCCCAAUUUAUACUUCAUUCGUGGAAACUGGGUCUUGGGCAACAUCUCAGCAAUUCCUUCCAAUCUGAAGUUCUCUCAUCUGCUGGUAACCGGUCCAUUCCUAUUGGCGUUCAAGCAAUCACAAACACAUCCUACUUUUGAGAAAUGUUCCAAAGGAGGAGUCAAAGCGGCUGUAAUCUUGAUUCGGUUUUAUGGGCAAUAGAAUUAUUUUACUGAUUCCUGGAAUCAUGGCUCCUAUACAUCUGCACUCUAUGAGCACUUUGGAAAUUAAAGGAUUGCCAGCUUUUCCACUUUGGGACAAAAAACAUUUGUGCUAAACAGCCGGAAAAAGCAAAUGCCAGUGUUAAUCAAACCAGCAUGGAAGUUAAUUAGAACCUCAAGAACAAGCGGAUGGGCUUAGCACCUUGGACACAUCAAUAUCUUGUUUCUAAAGAUGACCUCAAAAGAUUGCAUAACAAUAAAGCCCAGCACAAGUCAGAAAGUCAAUCUACUGAGGUCCUACAAUUCUCUUCAUUGACCUGAACAAACUCGACUCUGCUUUUCCCUUAAAUUUCUGUACAGAACCCUGACAACUCGUCUAUACUUUCUGUUAUUGAUUUCCCCCAUGCGCCUAAGUUUCUUAUGACUUCUGGAUUCUCCUUUUGGCUUUGCAGAACACCCCUACUUCCAAACUCUAGAGUAAAAUUCCUGUGAAGACUGAUACCUCAGAAGUGACUGCUUCACAGAUAGACAUCUAAUUUUUUAAUUGAGAUUUCAACUAUUUAACACUUACCGUGUUAACUCAUGACACUCUCCUCCAUUUGCUCAUAAACAACAAAACAAUAACAAAAAUGAAUGCUCACUGAGUGCUACAGAAUGCAAACUAUUAAAGAUACAGAAAUAAUGAAUAGGACUUCUGACCUUGAGUGGUUGGUAAAUAAAACAGAAAUAUAAAAAAUGAAAUAAAUAAUUAGGGUUACUGCCACUAGAGAAACAGAUCACAGGCUACAGAUUACUACUGGCCCUAUGAAGCAGGAAGACAGCACAGGUAUAGCAAGGGACCUUUUAUAUGUAGGUAGAACCUUAUUGUAGGUAAUGGUGAAAGCCAGUGAGCCCUUGCUCUGGGCUGCUCUGGUGAAUUGGCACUCCCUUCACUGUUUCGCUGACUAGACCUCAAGUACCCUCCAUGAGAGACUAGGGAGGCCUUGUGGAGCUGUGUCCU